rnacentral:rRNA from 1 species
AGGACGAACGCUGGCGGCGUGCUUAACACAUGCAAGUCGAACGGUGAACCACUUCGGUGGGGAUCAGUGGCGAACGGGUGAGUAACACGUGGGCAACCUGCCCCUAGCUCUGGGAUAACCUCGGGAAACCGAGGCUAAUACCGGAUAUGACUCCGAGCGGCAUCGCUUGGAGUGGAAAGUUUUUCGGCUAGGGAUGGGCCCGCGGCCUAUCAGCUUGUUGGUGGGGUAAUGGCCUACCAAGGCGACGACGGGUA